AGAGAGAGAGAGAGAGAGAGGGACCGACCAAAGAAGCGCUCUCUUCAAUCACUGUCGAAGAAGCAUCUCUUUUUCCUUCUUCUUUUGCUCUCUCUCUCUCUAUCAGGUUCCGUUGUUAUAAUCUCUCUCGCCCUUUGAAAUCGGCUUCUCCGAGAGAGAGAGAGAGAGAGGCAAGGUUACCUUCCAUGGACAUGUAUGCUCGCAAUCCCAUCAAUGGCUCACAAUCUGCUCAAGCUCCUCCAGACUGGAGCCCUGCUGAUGCCGAUUCCGGUCUCGAAGAGUCGAUGUGGCGAUUAGGGUUGGGUAGCAGCGAGACGUACCCGGAGAGACUUGGUGCCCCUGACUGUGCCUACUACAUGCGCAC